GACGAACGCUGGCGGCGUGCUUAACACAUGCAAGUCGAACGGAAAGGCCCUGCUUGCCGGGUACUCGAGUGGCGAACGGGUGAGUAACACGUGGGUGAUCUGCCCUGCACUUCGGGAUAAGCCUGGGAAACUGGGUCUAAUACCGGAUAGGAGCCAUUUUUAGUGUGAUGGUUGGAAAGUUUUUUCGGUGUAGGAUGAGCUCGCGGCCUAUCAGCUUGUUGGUGGGGUAAUGGCCUACCAAGGCGGCGACGGGUAGCCGGCCUGAGAGGGUGGACGGCCACAUUGGGACUGAGAUACGGCUCAGACUCCUACGGGAGGCAGCAGUGGGGAAUAUUGCACAAUGGGCGCAAGCCUGAUGCAGCGACGCCGCGUGGGGGAUGACGGCCUUCGGGUUGUAAACGCCUUUCGCUAGGGACGAAGCUUUUUGUGACGGUACCUAGAUAAGAAGCACCGGCUAACUACGUG
rnacentral:rRNA from 1 species